GAAUGUGAGGGUGAUCUGGUUAUGACAUCUGUCACCCCAUUGAUCAUCAGGGUUCAUUUGGAUGAUCUGGCUAGCCAGGUGGGUAUCACCUUCCUCCCUCACCAGUCCAUGUGUGCCCCUUCUGAAGCCGUGAUGACAAGGAUGACCACCAUAUAGAAGUGAUGGAGAAGGACUUUCUCCUCAAUCAAGGGUAUAUGAGUAGCUCUGCUCCCCUGCUGGAACCUCCAAACAAGCUCUCAAGGAAUACACAGAUAGAUAAACAUAGUAGGAAUAAAAUAUUUUCUAGGAAGAAACAAAUUAAGAAUUUGGUAGUAUGAGCCCACAAGUAUUU
ensembl:misc_RNA 7SK 7SK RNA